UCUUGUUUGAGAUUCCAAAUCCUAGUGCUAGUAAGAUUACCUAUGUCUUCAAGAUAUUUUGGUAGAGUUUAUAUGAUUUUGAAAAUUUAUUUCUCUAGAGAAUAUGUUUCUCUAUCCUUUGUGUUCUUCUUGCUCUACAUCAACCAUCUUCUACUUUUAUGGAUAAUGGACAAAGACCUAAUUGCUAAAAGAAAACAGUACUUUGACCAAAUUUACAAUUCUUGCUAAUUCUUUUCUUUUCUUCAUUAAUUCAACAUGUGAACUUUUAAUAUCGUAUCAUUUUUAGCCUGUGCCCAACUGCAGCCAAACUAAACCAGAAAGUGUCUAGCUAAUUCCAGGUCUUAAUAAAUGUUAAAGCCUAUAAUUAAGUAAAACCAAAUAAAGGUCCAGCUAAGAUCCAAACCUAAUACUUUUUUAGUUCAUGAUCUAAGACCUCUCGCUCAAAUAUCAUUGUUAAUCACUCUCUCACUUGCCUCUAUUUCACUUCUAUUCUCUUUAGAUCAUUGACGUCAAGCUCAAAAAUUGUUAGAAAAUAAUGAUUACUACCUCAUACUGCAUUUUGAGAUAGACAUUGAUAAAUAGUACAGUUUCAGACUUGCUGGCAGAUAAUGCAGCAACUUGCUGGCAGAUAAUGCAGCAUCUACCCAAUUAAUCUCUACUGAAUUCUUUUCUUUUUUUUUGGGUAUAAUUGGCUCCGACUGGUACUAAAACUUGAGAAAGCUCUAGAGACGACUCUAGUACCACUGACCUAAAGCUCAUACUUGAGAAAACCCUAGAGACAACUCUAGUACCACUGACUUAAAGCUCAUUGAAUGAUGCAAUCCCAUUUAGUUCUAAUAGAACCCGAAGGCAAGCGUGGAUAUCGGAUACUGAUCCAACCCAACCUCAUUUUCUUAGCUUCACCAGCUAAACCAUCUCACUUUACCUUGAAAUAAACCUUAACACCUAACGAAUUGUUAUCUGCCAACAAAGCAAAGAGCAUUUAAAAACCUCGUAUGUUUAACACUAGCAACAAGAGAUAAUGUUGUAUCAUUUGCAAGAAGAUGUCACUUGGUGAUGAAGACAUGGAAUUCAAGAAAAUUAAAAGUCAAAUACUCAAGAAGCUUAGG
rnacentral:misc_RNA from 1 species